GACGAACGCUGGCGGCGUGCUUAACACAUGCAAGUCGAACGGAAAGGCCCUGCUUUUGUGGGGUGCUCGAGUGGCGAACGGGUGAGUAACACGUGAGUAACCUGCCCUUGACUUUGGGAUAACUUCAGGAAACUGGGGCUAAUACCGGAUAGGAGCUCCUGCUGCAUGGUGGGGGUUGGAAAGUUUCGGCGGUUGGGGAUGGACUCGCGGCUUAUCAGCUUGUUGGUGGGGUAGUGGCUUACCAAGGCUUUGACGGGUAGCCGGCCUGAGAGGGUGACCGGCGACAUGGGGACUGAGAUACGGCCCAGACUCCUACGGGAGGCAGCGGUGGGGAAUAUUGCACAGUGGGCGGAAGCCUGAUGCAGCAACGCCGCGUGCGGGAUGACGGCCUUCGGGUUGUAAACCGCUUUCGCCUGUGACGAAGCGUGAGUGACGGUAAUGGGUAAAGAAGCACCGGCUAACUACGUG
rnacentral:rRNA from 1 species